CCUANGGGUGGCAGCAGUGAGGAAUAUUGGUCAAUGGGCGCAAGCCUGAACCAGCCAUCCCGCGUGAAGGAUGAAGGCCCUAUGGGUCGUAAACUUCUUUUAUACGCCAAGAAAAUUUCGGACGUGUCCGGAACUGACGGUAGUGUAUGAAUAAGCAUCGGCUAACUCCGUGCCAGCAGCCGCGGUAAUACGGAGGAUGCAAGCGUUAUCCGGAUUCAUUGGGUUUAAAGGGUGCGUAGGCGGCUUUUUAAGUCAGUGGUGAAAUCUUGCCGCUUAACGGUAAAAUUGCCAUUGAUACUGAAAAGCUUGAGUACAUUUGAGGUAAGCGGAAUGUGUAGUGUAGCGGUGAAAUGCUUAGAUAUUACACAGAACACCAAUUGCGAAGGCAGCUUACUAAACUGUUACUGACGCUGAUGCACGAAAGCGUGGGGAGCGAACAGGAUUAGAUACCCUGNUANUC
rnacentral:rRNA from 1 species